rnacentral:rRNA from 1 species
GACGAACCGUGCGAACGUUAUUCGGAAUCACUGGGCUUAAAGCGUGUGUAGGCGGCCUUGUAAGUCCGUUCUGAAAGCCCGGGGCUCAACCCCGGGAGGCGGAUGGAUACUGCAAGGCUCGAGUACGGAAGAGGCGAGUGGAAUUCCCGGUGUAGCGGUGAAAUGCGCAGAUAUCGGGAAGGAACACCAAUGGCGAAGGCAGCUCGCUGGGACGUUACUGACGCUGAGGCGCGAAAGCGUGGGGAUCAAACAGGG